UACGUAGGUGGCAAGCGUUGUCCGGAUUUACUGGGCGUAAAGAGCGCGCAGGCGGUCGUUCAAGUCGCGUGUGAAAGCCCCCGGCUCAACUGGGGAGGGUCACGCGAUACUGAUCGACUCGAAGGCAGGAGAGGGUAGUGGAAUUCCCGGUGUAGUGGUGAAAUGCGUAGAGAUGUGGAGGAACACCGAUGGCGAAGGCAGCCCCCCUGGGCUAACACUGACGCUCAUGCACGAAAGCGUGGGGAGCAAACAGG
rnacentral:rRNA from 1 species